AUUGAACGCUAGCGGGAUGCCUUACACAUGCAAGUCGAACGGAGUGGAGAACGGGUGAGUAAUGUAUCGGAACGUGCCCAGUAGCGGGGGAUAACUACGCGAAAGCGUAGCUAAUACCGCAUACUAUUGGAGCGGCCGAUAUCGGAUUAGCUAUUUGGGGGGGUAACGGCUCGCCAAGGCGACGAUCCGUAGCUGGUUUGAGGGGACGACCAGCCACAGUGGGACUGAGACACGGUCCAGACGCCUCCGGGAGGCAGCAGUGGGGAAUUGUGGACAAUGGGGUAAACCCUGAUCCAGCCAGCCCGCGUGUGGGAUGAAGGCCUGCGGGUUGUAAAGCACUUUUGGCAGGAAAGCGGUACCUGCAGAAUAAGCACCGGCUAACUACGUGCCAGCCGCCGCGGUAAUUC
rnacentral:rRNA from 1 species